GACGAACGCUGGCGGCAUGCCUAACACAUGCAAGUGGAGCGACGACCCGGACUUCGGUCCGGUGCAAAGCCGCGAACGGGUGAGUAACACGUGGGUUACUUGCCCCGAUGACCGGGACAACCCGUCGAAAGACGGGCUAAUACCGGAUGUGCCCGCAAGGGGGAAGGAAGCUUCGGCCUCCGCAUCGGGAUGGGCCCGCGGGGCAUUAGCUAGUUGGUGGGGUAAUGGCCUACCAAGGCGACGAUGCAUAGCUGGUCUGAGAGGACGAUCAGCCACACUGGGACUGAGACACGGCCCAGACUCCUACGGGAGGCAGCAGUGGGGAAUCUUGCACAAUGCGCGAAAGCGGGAUGCAGCAAUGCCGCGUGUGGGAAGAAGGGCUUCGGCUCGUAAACCACUUUCAGUUGGGACGAAGCUUCAGGCGUUAAUAGCGUUUUGGAGUGACGGUACCUUCACAAGAAGCCCCGGCUAACUACGUGCCAGCCGCCGCAGUAA
rnacentral:rRNA from 1 species